rnacentral:rRNA from 1 species
AUGCCGCAAAUAGUCGUGCAGCCCGGUGACACUUACAAAUCGAGUAGGCCAGGCGACGGCGCUCCUAGAACCAUGACGCAACACCUCUGGAUCAUUGUUGCGGCCGACGGGCUUGGGCUUGUCAAGGGCGUGGUCCAGAACCAUGGCUUCGAGCUGUCCGCGAUCAAGUGCUCGUGGUGCUCGUGCAUUGGGAGGCCAUGUUCCACCGACGCCGGCCCUCCUGCUUGCUGUGACACAGUACAGGAUUCAAGGAUUUCAAUGGGGAGGAAUACACCAAGCAAACGGCACAACAAGGAACCAUCUGACCCAUCCAGGAUUCAAGGAUUUCAAUGGGAAGGAAUACGCCAAGCAAGUGGCACAACAAGGAACCAUCUGACACAUCAUGGGCCAGGCCGCUACAGGAGAGAUGCAUCAAUGACCUGUGACUAUUCAGACUCACUUGAAGGACGGCGUGGUGAACUCCCAUUGUUGGUGAUGAAUGCCAGAUUUGAUUCAUCAGCUUACUGA